rnacentral:lncRNA from 1 species
CUUUUCGGCCGCGGCGCGUGACUGGGCUUGGUGGAGUUUCAAGAUGCUGAUGAACUUAAGGUCUGGCGCUUGAAAGAAUCAGUGAAGCUUUUCAAGUAGAGGAGUGGUGUUUCCAGUGAAAUCUAUGGCAAGAUGGUUUGGGGUCACUAUCUACAUGAACUGCCAAGUUGGAAAAUCAAAAAUACAUCAAAAUCACUCUUGGGACAUAAGUCACGGAAGUGACUCAUGCACACAAUAAAUACCCAAGAAGCAGGACCAGACGGCAGUUGUGUAUUGGCACGCUCAUCAGUGCUGCAAAAAUUCCCCUUCUGGAUGGCAACAACAAUGCUGUAUCCACAGCAGCAUUUUAAAUCUCACCUCUGAUUACUCUACUUUGAAGAAAGGAAUGGAACAGAAGGUGUCUGCAUAACUAAAUGGGGAUCUAGAGAAAGUGGAGACUGCCUCUGGAGCAGGGAGGCACAUUUGCAGAUAAAAUGUUGAGAUUGUGAUCAGAUUAUGAUCAGAACUUUCAAGAGUUCUGGAAAGAAGAGUUCUGGAAAGAAACACUGACAUAAAGGAGAAGAAAAGAACAGGAACUCCCUCUGAGUUUGCAUAACUUUCAAUGUUCACAGCCUCCUGUUGCCUUUCUAGGAGGUGCCCUACUGUGUAUUGCUGGGGUCGUAUAGCCAAUUGGCGAACUAGCUGAUAAACCCUGGACAGAAAUAGAAACUACAAGAAGUGAAACAAAGUUCCAUCCAAGAAUGAAACAACAACUGAUCACGUGAGAUGCCCAUGUCAUCACUUGACCCACAGACAGGGGAGCAAAUAUAUUGAUGAUCUGGUCCUCCUGCCGGACUGUUGGUAUUCAUCCCUGUAAGUGAGAGGAAGGAAACAUUGCAACUUAAUGGGUGAGUCCUUCCUUCUGGUGAAUUUAACAUCAUGCAUUUGCUAGAUUUGCUAGCCAUGCAGUUAUGGUGAAAACAGGAAAGAUCCCUUUGGGUUUAACUAUAGAUUAGCCAUAGGAUUUGCAACCAGGAAAAGACCUUCAAGAUCAAUUCUAUUGGAACAUGGACAAUUAACAUAAAUAAACUGAGAAACAGACA